GACGAGGGCCCCGAGCGUUAUCCGGAUUUAUUGGGCGUAAAGAGUGCGUAGGCGGUCUUGUGCGUCUCAUCUUAAAUCUCUGGGCUUAACCCAGAGGCUGGGUGGGAUACGGCAAGACUAGAGGAUGUGAGAGACUACUAGAACGCAUGGUGUAGGGGUGACAUCCGUUGAUAUCAUGCGGAAUACCAAAGGCGAAGGCAGGUAGUUGGCACAUUCCUGACGCUCAGUGCACGAAAGCGUGGGGAUCAAAAAGG
rnacentral:rRNA from 1 species